GACGAACGCUGGCGGCGUGCUUAACACAUGCAAGUCGAACGGGAGUAUCGAAGAAGCUUGCUUUUAAGAUACUUUAGUGGCGGACGGGUGAGUAACGCGUGAGGAGCUGUCCUAUGCAGGGGGACAACAGUUGGAAACGACUGCUAAUACCCCAUAAGCCGAGAGGUAAAAGGAUUUAUCCGGCAAAGGAGGUACUCGCGUCCUAUCAGCUAGUAGGUGAGGUAACGGCUCACCUAGGCGAAGACGGGUAGCCGGCCUGAGAGGGCGAACGGCCACACUGGAACUGAGAUACGGUCCAGACUCCUACGGGAGGCAGCAGUGGGGAAUAUUGGGCAAUGGGGGCAACCCUGACCCAGCGACGCCGCGUGGGUGAAGAAAUCCUUCGGGAUGUAAAGCCCUGUUGUAUGGGGAGAGCGGAAGACGGUACCAUACGAGGAAGCCCCGGCAAACUACGUGCCAGCAGCCGCGUAA
rnacentral:rRNA from 1 species